GUUGGGUACGGGGACAACACCCCUCUCACGGUUGGCGGAAAAAUCGUCGGGGCCGUGUGUGCGGUGACGGGACUGUUGGUCAUCGCGCUGCCGGUGCCGGUUAUCGUGUCCAAC
rfam:Branchiostoma floridae genomic scaffold BRAFLscaffold_251, whole genome shotgun sequence.